rnacentral:rRNA from 1 species
GCUUGCACCUGGUGGCGAGUGGCGAACGGGUGAGUAAUACAUCGGAACGUACCUUAUCGUGGGGGAUAACGCAGCGAAAGCUGUGCUAAUACCGCAUACGCCCUGAGGGGGAAAGCGGGGGAUCGAAAGACCUCGCGCGAUUAGAGCGGCCGAUGCCUGAUUAGCUUGUUGGUGGGGUAAAAGCCCACCAAGGCGACGAUCAGUAGCUGGUCUGAGAGGACGAUCAGCCACACUGGGACUGAGACACGGCCCAGACCCCUACGGGAGGCAGCAGUGGGGAAUUUCGGACAAUGGGGGAAACCCUGAUCCAGCAAUGCCGCGUGAGUGAAGAAGGCCUUCGGGUUGUAAAGCUCUUUUGUCAGGGAAGAAACACCGGCUCUAACACAGUCCGGGAAUGACGGUACCUGAAGAAUAAGCACCGGCUAACUACGUGCCAGCAGCCGCGGUAAUACGUAGGGUGCGAGCGUUAAUCGGAAUUACUGGGCGUAAAGCGUGCGCAGGCGGUUAUACAAGACAGGCGUGAAAUCCCCGGGCUUAACCUGGGAAUGGCGCCUGUGACUGUAUAGCUAGAGUGUGUCAGAGGGGGGUAGAAUUCCACGUGUAGCAGUGAAAUGCGUAGAUAUGUGGAGGAAUACCAAUGGCGAAGGCAGCCCCCUGGGAUAACACUGACGCUCAUGCACGAAAGCGUGGGGAGCAAACA